rnacentral:tRNA from 1 species
ACCCGGAUGGCCGAGUGGUUAAGGCGUUGGACUUAAGAUCCAAUGGAUCGAUGUCCUCGUGGGUUCGAACCCCACUCCUGGUA